GUGGGGAAUAUUGGGCAAUGGGCGAAAGCCUGACCCAGCAACGCCGCGUGAAGGAAGAAGGUUUUCGGAUCGUAAACUUCUAUCCUUGGUGAAGAUAAUGACGGUAGCCAAGAAGGAAGCCCCGGCUAACUACGUGCCAGCAGCCGCGGUAAUACGUAGGGGGCAAGCGUUGUCCGGAAUGAUUGGGCGUAAAGGGCGCGUAGGCGGCCCGGUAAGUCUGAAGUGAAAGUCAUGCUUUUAAGGUGGGAAUUGCUUUGGAUACUGUCGGGCUUGAGUGCAGGAGAGGUAAGCGGAAUUCCCGGUGUAGCGGUGGAAUGCGUAGAGAUCGGGAGGAACACCAGUGGCGAAGGCGGCUUACUGGACUGUAACUGACGCUGAGGCGCGAAAGUGUGGGGAGCAAACAGGAUUAGAAACCCGGGUAGUCC
rnacentral:rRNA from 1 species